CCACUCAGACAUGGGGAGAACAUGAAAACACAGAGAGGUCCCACCCCCAUCGACUGGUGUUGGAAUCGAAACCAGGACCUUAUUGCUGUGAGGCACUAGUGCUAUCCACUACACCACCUGCUUGCUGUAUAUAUAUUCAAUUAAUUUAUUAAUU